GUUACAUUGAAAAUCAAUCCAACAUAUGGCGGUGUCAGGCGCUCCCUUUCUGCCUCCAAACUACUAGUGAGUGGCAGCGCGUCUGGUGGUGGUCGCUUGUCAGCUCGUCCUGCUGAUGAACGGCGUCUCUUUACCCAGGUUAAAGGUGUACUGAAGCAGCAAAGUAGCAUGGCGGCGGCACUGAAGAAAAGAGAAGGCGCGGGCGUGGCAAGCGAUGAGAACGUGGAGGAGAAGGUAGUAGAGAUAAUGAUGGUGAAGAGGAAGGCCUAAAAUCACAUGCAAUAAGAGGAAGAAGAGCAGCAGGAGGAUUCAAAUGUUACAAUGUCCCAUCCUGACUACCACGAUAUAUUACUUAGUUGUGACGAGUCUCCUGACGAAGUGGCGAGAGAAAACUUCAUGUGUAGGAUGGCGAGGAGGGGGGAAGGGAGGAGAGG